AGAGUUUGAUCCUGGCUCAGGACGAACGCUGGCGGCGUGCCUAACACAUGCAAGUCGUACGGGACCGGGGGCAACUCCGGUUCAGUGGCAGAUGGGUGCGUAACACGUGAGGAACUUGUCCGUCGGCGGGGGAUAGCCGGCCCAACGGCCGGGUAAUACCGCAUACGCUCGUUCGGGGGCAUCCCUGGGCGAGGAAGGCAGCCGCAAGGUUGCGCAGGUGGAGAGUCUCGCGGCCUAUCAGCUUGUUGGCGGGGUAAUGGCCCACCAAGGCGACGACGGGUAGCUGGUCUGAGAGGAUGGCCAGCCACAUUGGGACUGAGACACGGCCCAGACUCCUACGGGAGGCAGCAGUGGGGAAUAUUGCGCAAUGGCCGCAAGGCUGACGCAGCGACGCCGCGUGUGGGAUGACGGCCUUCGGGUUGUAAACCACUGUCGGGGGGGACGAAUACAGGGCUUCGAAUAGGAGACCCUGGGUGACGGUACCUCCAAAGGAAGCACCGGCUAACUCCGUGCCAGCAGCCGCGGUAAUACGGAGGGUGCGAGCGUUGUCCGGAAUCACUGGGCGUAAAGGGCGCGUAGGUGGCUGGCUAAGUUGCCGGUGAAAUCCCGGGGCUCAACUCCGGGGCUGCCGGUAAGACUGGCGGGCUCGAGCACGGUAGAGGCAGAUGGAAUUCCCGGUGUAGCGGUGGAAUGCGUAGAGAUCGGGAAGAACACCAGUGGCGAAGGCGUUCUGCUGGGCCGUUGCUGACACUGAGGCGCGACAGCGUGGGGAGCAAACAGGAUUAGAUACCCUGGUAGUCCACGCCGUAAACGAUGGACACUAGGCGUCGGGGGGAGCGACCCCCUCGGUGCCGUCGCUAACGCAGUAAGUGUCCCGCCUGGGGAGUACGGCCGCAAGGNNGAAACUCAAAUGAAUUGACGGG
rnacentral:rRNA from 1 species